rnacentral:rRNA from 1 species
AUGAGUGCUGCUAUAUGGUUUGAACCCUCUAUCUGUAGAUCAUUCCUUUUACUGAUUUCUAGCUUUUCGGAGGCACAAGUAGUUGAUCACUUAGACGUACGAGAUUCUGAAAGGAUUGUUCCCUCUAGGCACAUCUUAGGAAGGAUUCCGUGUCCCUCCAACUCCAUCCAUUCGGCUGGCUCAUCCUCAUCAUCCGAAAAGAAAACAGAGACAAAACAGAUUUGUUUCAAUGACAUAUCUAAUCAGACUGAAAUUGAUGUCGAAGACACGAUCAUUCACAUCAAUUGAAGCAGGCAGGAAGGGCGCGGAAGCUACCGUUUAACGAAUGCAAUGCAAGCAAGGUAG